AGCGAACGCUGGCGGCAGGCUUAACACAUGCAAGUCGAACGCCCCGCAAGGGGAGUGGCAGACGGGUGAGUAACACGUGGGAACGUACCCUUUGGUUCGGAAUAACUUGGGGAAACUCAAGCUAAUACCGGAUAAGCCCUUAUGGGGAAAGGUUUACUGCCGAAGGAUCGGCCCGCGUCUGCUUAGCUAGUUGGUGAGGUAAUGGCUCACCAAGGCGACGAUCAGUAGCUGGUCUGAGAGGAUGAUCAGCCACACUGGGACUGAGACACGGCCCAGACUCCUACGGGAGGCAGCAGUGGGGAAUAUUGGACAAUGGGGGCAACCUUGAUCCAGCCAUGCCGCGUGAGUGAUGAAGGCCUUAGGGUUGUAAAGCUCUUUUACCCGGGACGAUAAUGACUGUACCGGGAGAAUAAGCCCCGGCUAACUUCGUGCCAGCCGCCGCGGUAA
rnacentral:rRNA from 1 species